AGUCGAGCGAACGGACGAGAAGCUUGCUUCUCUGAUGUUAGCGGCGGACGGGUGAGUAACACGUGGAUAACCUACCUAUAAGACUGGGAUAACUUCGGGAAACCGGAGCUAAUACCGGAUAAUAUUUUGAACCGCAUGGUUCAAAAGUGAAAGACGGUCUUGCUGUCACUUAUAGAUGGAUCCGCGCUGCAUUAGCUAGUUGGUAAGGUAACGGCUUACCAAGGCAACGAUGCAUAGCCGACCUGAGAGGGUGAUCGGCCACACUGGAACUGAGACACGGUCCAGACUCCUACGGGAGGCAGCAGUAGGGAAUCUUCCGCAAUGGGCGAAAGCCUGACGGAGCAACGCCGCGUGAGUGAU
rnacentral:rRNA from 1 species